UACGGAGGAUGCAAGCGUUAUCCGGAAUGAUUGGGCGUAAAGCGUCCGCAGGUGGCAAUGUAAGUCUGCUGUUAAAGAGUCUAGCUCAACCAGAUAAAGGCAGUGGAAACUACAUAGCUAGAGUAAGGUAGGGGUAGAGGGAAUUCCUGGUGUAGCGGUGAAAUGCGUAGAGAUCAGGAAGAACACCGGUGGCGAAAGCGCUCUGCUGGACCUUAACUGACACUGAGGGACGAAAGCUAGGGGAGCGAAUGGG
rnacentral:rRNA from 1 species